rnacentral:rRNA from 1 species
UACGUAGGCAGCAAGCGUUGUUCGGAAUUACUGGGCGUAAAGAGUUCGUAGGCGGUGUGCCAAGUUUGGUGUGAGAUCUCCCGGCUCAACUGGGAGGGUGCGCCGAAUACUGGCAUGCUCGAGUACAGGAGAGGAAAGCGGAAUUUCUGGUGUAGCGGUGAAAUGCGUAGAUAUCAGAAGGAACACCUGUGGUGUAGACGGCUUUCUGGACUGUAACUGACGCUGAGGUGCGAAAGCCAGGGGAGCAAACGGG